CAUUAAAUUGCCACUUUCCACAAUCAUCCUCCCUGAUGAAGCAAGUUACGUGAUGAUGCUUUGGGCUGCAAAGGACACUGGGAGAGUUGAAGCAGUUGUUGGCCCAAACAAACUGUAUGAUCAUUCUUUUCGCACCCUGCAGGGGAAUGA